UUUCCGUAGGUGAACCUGCGGAAGGAUCAUUAUUGUAUUACAGAGGCGCGAGGGCUGUCGAUGACUAGAAAGGUCGUGCACGCUCGAGUGCCCUUACACACACCCAUCUCACCCCUAAGUGCACCACCGCGCGGGUCCCCCUACGGCUUGUUUGGUGGGGGGCUUACGAUUUGACUCAACCUUUGUAUGCAGCGUACAACACAUUUUUUGUUUUUGCGAUCAUGGAUUCAAAACACCUUUCAACAACGGAUCUCUCGGCUCUCGCACAGCUGCAGAACG
rnacentral:misc_RNA from 1 species